rnacentral:rRNA from 1 species
CCUACGGGAGGCAGCAGUGGGGAAUAUUGCACAAUGGGGGAAACCCUGAUGCAGCGACGCCGCGUGAGUGAAGAAGUAUUUCGGUACGUAAAGCUCUAUCAGCAGGGAAGAAAAUGACGGUACCUGACUAAGAAGCCCCGGCUAACUACGUGCCAGCAGCCGCGGUAAUACGUAGGGGGCAAGCGUUAUCCGGAUUUACUGGGUGUAAAGGGAGCGUAGACGGCAGCGCAAGUCUGGAGUGAAAUCCCAUGGCUUAACCAUGGAACUGCUUUGGAAACUGUGCAGCUAGAGUGCAGGAGAGGUAAGCGGAAUUCCUAGUGUAGCGGUGAAAUGCGUAGAUAGUAGGAGGAACACCAGUGGCGAAGGCGGCUUACUGGACUGUAACUGACGUUGAGGCUCGAAAGCGUGGGGAGCAAACAGGAUUAGAUACCCCUGUAGUC